rnacentral:misc_RNA from 1 species
AAGUUGUAACAAGGUUUCCGUAGGUGAACCUGCGGAAGGAUCAUUACUGCUUGCUUAUGGCCGCUUAGGUGGGGAGACCCCCUUUGCAGUACGGCAACACACCCUUGUCUAUGUAUACUAUUUGUUAUUUCCCUCAGCGGGGCAACCUGCUGCUGGGGACAAUAAAACCUCUUGUAUUAAGCAUUAAAACUUCUGAAACAAACCUAAAUUAUUACAACUUUCAACAAUAGAUCUCUUGGUUCUG